GCCGGGUUGGCGGAAUCUGGUUUAACGCGCCCGCCUCGAAAGCGGGUGUCCGCAAGGGCAUCCAGGUUCAAAUCCUGGGCCCGGCG
rnacentral:tRNA from 1 species